GACAUCAGCCGCCACGGUAAUACGAAGGGUGCAAGCGUUACUCGGAAUUACUGGGCGUAAAGCGUGCGUAGGUGGUGGUUUAAGUCCGUUGUGAAAGCCCUGGGCUCAACCUGGGAAUUGCAGUGGAUACUGGGUCACUAGAGUGUGGUAGAGGAUAGUGGAAUUUCCGGUGUAGCAGUGAAAUGCGUAGAGAUCGGAAGGAACAUCUGUGGCGAAGGCGACUAUCUGGGCCAACACUGACACUGAUGCACGAAAGCGUGGGGAGCAAACAGGAUUAGAUACCCCAGUAGUCCCUGUCUCUUAUAU
rnacentral:rRNA from 1 species